GUUCAAUCCCCAGCAUCCCCCACCCAUGAAGGACAUGGGAGAUGUAUUAAUUAGCUGUCCUGUUGCUGAACCAAUAUUCUACACUUGCAAUUUAAAGGAGGAGAGGUUUAAUUUAGCCUAUGGUUUGGGAGAUUCAGUCCAUGGUCCGCUGGCUCCAAAGCUGGAACAUCAUUGUGGAAGGGUAUGGCGGAGCAAAGCUGCUCAAUUCAUGGUGGUUGGGAAGCAGAGCCAGGGAACAGCACUGGAGAGGAACAGGGGGGCACUAUGUAUGGUGCCCAUGGCCACACCUCCAUGACCCACCCAGGCACACCUAGGAGCUGUUCUAUCCUGCUGGUGUUUCUUCUUCUUCUUUUUUUUUUUGGUACUGGGGAUCGAAUUCCAGACCUUGCACUUGUGAGGCAGGCAGCAGAACCACUGAGAGCUAAAUCCCCGGCCCACUGCUGGUGUUUCUUAAUCUGAUGAUGCUGAUGUUUCAGGAUGAGAUCACUGAAGACAUUACAAAGUUCAAGUUGAACUUCUAGAGAUGAAAACAAUGCCUGGGGUGGGUGUGGUGGCACAUCCCAGUGCUCAGGAGACCCUGUCUCAAAGAUAAAUAAAUAAAUAAAAUGAAAAGAACAUCAAUGAUUUGGAAUUGGCUAUGCUGGUUACUGAGAAGAACCUGUCUGUGAGUUACAGGACAGGGCUAAUCAGCCAUGCAUUUACAUGAUCCUUUUGAGACUGCAGACACACCGGGAUGGGGGUUUCUGGGGAUGUCCAAUGAUUCCCAGAAGUCCCCAGUCAUUGUCCUGGGCCUGUGGUCAACUGGAUGUCUCGAGAGGCAGAGCCCACCUGGCUGAGACCCCAUGCAGACAGAGACAUCCUUUCCUGGGACAGAAGCAUCCCUGGCUGUGCAGAUCCCAGAGCUGGGACAGCAGAACUGAGAUGAUGUUCAGAGACCCCAGCCACCAGCCAGGCCUUUACAGAUGGCCGGUCUGCAUCCCUGCAUCAGCGUACCACCUCCAGCCACCUGAGUGGAAGCAUUUCCUGUCUUCCUCUAACUUUCCAGUGCAAGUUUUCUUCCUGCAAAAGUGUGCUUUGGUUUUAAUCUCCCGAUCUCCUAAAUCAAGGACUCAAAGCAGCCAAGGACAACCCUACCCUACUUCACAGAUCUUGUUAUGCACUGAACUGCACCCCAAGGCUCCUGUGCUGAUCCCAGUGUGCCUGCUUGGCGAUGAAUGAUGCUAAAUCAGGUCAUAAGGGUGGGGCCCUAUCCACUGAAAUCUCAGCACCGAAUUGGCUGGCGCCUGGGUUGUGGCCAUCCCAUCUCCAGAUCUGCAAGAGAUCAAUGUCAGUGUGCACCCGCCCGGCUCUGCUGAUUUGUCUCAGCAUCUGACCUAAGAUAGAUCUCACCCUAGUUUAGCUGAGCGCAUUGCAGUGACCCCAUAAAGCCACAAAGGGUCACCCCCCAAGGUGGGGCUCUGGGGAAACAGGCUGGCAGUUCUGGGAAGGCACUGGAUUGCACAACUUGGACCUGGUGUGCAGCCAGACCAGGAGCCGGCCUUCUCACAACCUCUCUGUCCUCGCCAGCUAUGAACCACAAACUUCAUCCUGUCCACACAACAGGCAAGCAUUAAGUAUGAAAAGGACCAGGCGCAGUGGUACAUGCCUGUUAUCUCAGCACUCUGGGAGGCUGAGGCAGGAGGAUCACAGGUUCAAGCCCAGCCAGGGCAACUUAGAGUUAGCAAGACUCUGUCUCAAAAAAUGAAGAAAGGUCUCACAUUCUUCCUGGGGGACCCCACACCCAGUGUGGCAUCUGUGCCCCUCAGGCUCAACUCCUAAGGAUGCGUCUUUGGAAGAAAAUUAGGUUGCGUGAUGCAUCAUGGACAGACAGGGGGCACGUGAAGGCAUCUGUCACCACCCGGCAAGCUCACCAAGGUCAUGGACAAGUCCCCUGGCCAGUGUGCAAAGCACUGUUGUCAGGUGGCAUGGAGUGCAUCAGACGGAGGCAGAGGCACAACAGGAACCAACUGAAGUCAUGUUUUGUUGUUGUUGUUGUUGUUUUGUGGUACUGGGGAUCAAACUCAGGACCUUUCACUUUCAAGGCAGGUGCAGCACCACUGAGCUAAAUCCCUGGCCCUGAAGUCAUGGUUUUGUAAUGGUUUUUGAUUAUCAUGUUGCUCAGCUGCAAAGAGCAGAACACCCAAGAGUGGCAAAAUAAACUUGGGCUCAUUUCUCUACCAUAACAAGACAAGUGGCCACUGAUGCUGUUUUAGCAGCUCCAGGAGCAUGGAGCUUGCAUCUCCCUGCUUGCUUGCCUUUAACCUCAUGAUUACAAGAAGGUUGCCUGAACUCCUGGCAUCACACCUACAUUCAAAACAGGAAGACAGAGGAAGUUUCCUUCACCUCCUUUGACACCCCCUAGCCUGACAGUCCUACACAAUCCAGUUACUGGAUGGAGGGUCUUGUGGGCUUCUUUCUAGGUUCUUGGUGUCCUGAGCAAAGAAUUGUGCAAGACACAUGGAAAAGGCAGUGAAAAUGUACUUUUAUUGAAGGUGGAAAAGAG
ensembl:lncRNA